GAUAACACAAUUGCCGAAACCCAUCACGCUGUGCUCUGCCAACAGAAGCGCGGCAGCAACAAGGCGUGCUCCUCUUUCGCCAGCGGGGUAUACGGUAAUGAUGCUUGCUCUGUUGUCCCA
ensembl:ncRNA F56E3.6 ncRNA